rnacentral:rRNA from 1 species
AUGAGUCGACCUGAUGGGAUCAACAUCCAUGAUGCCAAGUUCUACCCUGGAGAUGCUGGCUAUGCAUGUCGGCCGGGUAUUCUUCCACCCUUUAGGAAAACCAGGUACCAUCUCAAUGAGUUCUCUAGUAGGAACUAUCCUAGGACUGCACAAGAGCUGUUUAAUCUCAGACACUCCAACCUUAGAGUAACUAUUGAGAGGGCAUUUGGAGCUCUAAAGAAUAGGUUUAAGAUCCUGGAUCAGAAGCCAUUCCACCCAUACUCUUAGGUUAAGCUUGUUCUUGCUUGUUGCAUUCUGCAUAACUGGAUCCUUUAGUGGGGCUUUGAUGAACACGUGCCUGAGGAGGAAGAGGUUGAGCCUGAUGAUGUUGUUAGCUCCGUCCAUGGUGUGGAGGCAUUUGACAAUGACGCUUGGAAGAACAAAAGGUUGGAGUGGGCAGAGGCAAGGUGGAUUAACAUAGGAUGA